rnacentral:rRNA from 1 species
UACGUAGGUGGCAAGCGUUAUCCGGAAUUAUUGGGCGUAAAGCGCGCGCAGGCGGUUUCUUAAGUCUGCUGUGAAAUCCCCGGGCUCAACCUGGGAAUGGCAGUGGAUACUGGGAGGCUAGAGUGUGUCAGAGGAUGGUGGAAUUCCCGGUGUAGCGGUGAAAUGCGUAGAGAUCGGGAGGAACAUCAGUGGCGAAGGCGGCCAUCUGGGACAUCACUGACGCUGAGGCACGAAAGCGUGGGGAGCAAACAGG